AACGCUGGCGGCAUGCCUUACACAUGCAAGUCGAACGGCAGCACGGGUGCUUGCACCUGGUGGCGAGUGGCGGACGGGUGAGUAAUGCAUCGGAACGUGUCCUGAAGUGGGGGAUAACGCAUCGAAAGAUGUGCUAAUACCGCAUAUUCUCUGAGGAGGAAAGUAGGGGAUCGAAAGACCUUAUGCUUUUGGAGCGGCCGAUGUCUGAUUAGCUAGUUGGUAGGGUAAUGGCUUACCAAGGCGACGAUCAGUAGUUGGUCUGAGAGGACGGCCAGCCACACUGGGACUGAGACACGGCCCAGACUCCUACGGGAGGCAGCAGUGGGGAAUUUUGGACAAUGGGCGCAAGCCUGAUCCAGCAAUGCCGCGUGAGUGAAGAAGGCCUUCGGGUUGUAAAGCUCUUUCAGUUGAGAAGAAAAAGUCGUGACUAAUAAUCAUGAUUCAUGACGGUAUCAACAGAAGAAGCACCGGCUAACUACGUG
rnacentral:rRNA from 1 species